ensembl:lncRNA HULC hepatocellular carcinoma up-regulated long non-coding RNA
GCGCAUGCUCUAUGGGGUAGAGACGCUAGGCCGGCACUGCCUAGGUGGGCCGGGCGGUGCGAGGGUCGCCUUUCAGCCUUUACCUCUACCCACUGAAAUGGAGUAGGUCGGUGAGCGCCGAUCUGCUGGAGAAUCUCAUUAUCCCAUCGGCGCUCUGCCUGCUCCUGGCCUCCAAGCCUCUGAAGCCCCUCGGGUUUCAGCUGCCGGCUACCCUCGAGCCCGUGGUGCCCACGAGAGAGGCGACUUUACGUCAGCGGCCCUGGGCUGAGAUUUGAGAACGCGACCAAGUGGAGAAUGUUGGAGCCAGAUUUUAAAAUCCUUGUCUUCCUUCUGCGUGCUACUUGAUCUAAAUGAGAUACGGCAAAGUCACAGAACCUGUUUUUAUGUUUUUGCCUGAUUCAUACGGGCUUCUCCGGUGAAGAUGGGCCUGAAGUAACGCUUGGGUUGCUUCUGACGUUAUAACUCAUCCUGUAGCUGCAGCAACCGUGGUCCUUGCAACCUCAUAAAAAUGUUGCCAGCAUUGUUUCGAUAGUGCUGCUUAAUUCUUGGAAGGUUCUUCGGACUUCACACAUUCCAGCAGUAGCUCUCUCAGCUCCUGUCCUGCACAGCUUUGAAGUGCUGGACACAGCCCUGGUGAUGGCUUUCUGAGGAUGACACGAUGGAGGCUUCUCCAAUAGCUCUAAAACUGCGGUGUGGAAAACAUUCGGCAGCCUCAAAGAGCGGUCUUGUUGACCCCAACUAUAUCAUUUUUCAUCAAAAUCAUUCUUGUAAAGAAUGACCAGGCAACACUCUUUGAAAAUUGGAGGCCAUUUGCAGCUGCUCUCUGUUGAGGAAAGUGAAUAAUAGGGUGCCCUCAAGGAAUUGCAAAGGGACACGCUGCGGAUGGCUUGAGAUUAGUAUCUGCGCAGGUGCCAUUCUCACAGUGUGUGCUGUGAGAAUGUCGCAGACGUGUGCUGCUACUCUGGCACUCACACUUGUCCAGGCUGUUUCUUAGGUGGUCAUCUUGCCUGUGUCCUAAGUUAGUGGCAUGAAAGCACUGCCCUGGAAGCGAUGGAGCAGCAAGUGCUCUACCCACAUGGAAGUCUUUGGGACCUGCACUUCAAUGAGCGCAGAGAGGAAAAGGAGAGAAGAACCAACACAACUGAAGCACCUACGAGCGUCAGGCACUGGCCCAGCUGCCAUGGACCCCCGAGUUGAAGGUCGUAUAACCUCAGCCUGCCCAAAUGAACCAAGCACACAACCACAGGGGGAACCCAAGAGUUCCAGUGGGAGAGCUGGAAGAGGAGGGACCAAUGUGAGAAGUGGACACCAUAUGGCAGGAUCCAGGAUCCAAUCAGACUGAGCCCUGGGGUCACCCCAUGGAAGGAUCCAGUUGGAUCAUGCCUCCUGGCAUCACCUACUGCAAGAUCCAAUCAGAUCACACCUCCUUACCCUAUGCUUAUAAAACCCCACCCAGCCCCCAGCCCGAAGAUACAGAUUUGAGUAUUUCCUCCUGUUUCCUUACCAGUCGAUUUGCAAUAAAGCUUUUUUUUUUUUCCUAAA